rnacentral:rRNA from 1 species
ACUCAAAUGAAUUGACGGAGGUCUACACAAGCGGUGGAGCAUGUGGUUUAAUUCGAUACAGCGCGCAAAACCUUACCAGUUAUUGCAUGUAUAAUGAAGCUUUAAAUAGAAAUAUUUAAAACAUACUUAUACACAGGUGUUGCAUGGCUGUCGUCAGCUCGUGUCGUGAGAUGUUUGGUUAGGUCCUGUAACGAGCGCAACCCUUAUAUUUAGUUGCUAAUAUUUAGUUAUAAAUAUGCACUCUAAAUAAACUGCCUGUAAAAAACAGGAGAAAGGUGAGGAUGACGUCAAGUCCUUAUGACCCCUAUUGACUGGGCUACACACGUGCUACAAUGAUAAUAACAAUAAGAAGCAAUAAUGUAAAUUGGAGCAAAUCUUGAAAUGUUAUCUUAGUUCAGAUUGUUUUCUGCAACUCGAAUACAUGAAGUUGGAAUCGCUAGUAAUCACGAAUCAGCACGUCGUGGUGAAUAUGUACUUAGGCCUUGUACACACCGCCCGU